GGCUCUGUGGUGAAAUUCAUGGUGGGUUGCAAGCCCGCAGAUGUACAUUAGUAGUGUGCCAGAGUCU
rnacentral:tRNA from 1 species